UGAAAGAAAAAAGCAAGUUGGUGGUAUUAUUAUGAUUGUGGGGUUGGUUUUGGUUUGUCUUGGUUUUGUUAUAUGAUUAUGAUUAUGAUUAUGAUUAUGAUGGGGUCUAUUGCUUUUGCUUUUCUUUAAAUUAUGCAAGUGCUUGGGUGUAUUAAGUUUGUUUUCAACAAGUCUAUCGAGUUCAUAUUUAGAUUUUAUGCGACUUGUAUGUAGCAUAGUACGUAAUAUUAUUAAUGAAUUGGUUACUUUGCUUUGAUUUACG
rnacentral:lncRNA from 1 species